CACUACUCUCUGACAACUAGCGGCAACGGACGCCGCUCCAUUACCUGCAACAGGCUCUACGUGGCAGGCCAUGACAAUAGCCACGGGUCUACUCCACUACCCUUCGCAAUAAAUUCCCCUGACCAUGGGCGGCCCACUACCAGACGGUUACAAAUGUCGCCAUCAAUCCGUUGCCUCCUCCGCCUAUAAAAGGGGGACCCAGAUACGUUGUUCUCUAAGCUCAUUUCUUAUCUCAAAACUCUGC
rnacentral:lncRNA from 1 species